ensembl:lncRNA
AAUUUAGGCACAUUAGUUACUAGCCAAUGAAAUGAGGGAGUUGGCUGUUGUGGUUUCUCUAGUGAACGUUUUUCUUGCUAAUAGGAGGAAAGAGCUGCAUGGAAAGAAAAGCCUGUCUUCUUCACUGGUCACCACAGUGUCCUCUGGUGAAGUCUGUAACAGUUGCAGUCACCUUUUGACCACUAUUGAUCAACUAUUGAAGACAACGAAGUAGAAAUCUGGAAAGGACCUGGUCUUGUUGAGGAUCCAAGGUAAGUAAAGAGCUGGUGGGAAGGGAACAUUCCAUGCAGUGGGGACAGUAAAUGUAGGGGUCCUGGUGUUUGAGGAAAAGAGAGAAGGGGAGUGAUGGAGACCUAAGUGGAAGUGAGACCAGAGAGCUAAGACCUUACCCACCCAGGAAAGGGGUUUAGAUUUGGAUCUAAAUGCCGUAGAAUUUGCUGGAGGGGCAGUUCCUUUUUUUUUUUAAUUUCCUAACUCCCCACAUGCAGCACAUAAUUAAACUAAAUUUUAGCUCAGAGGGUUUUAGUUUGAUCAAAGUAAUCCCAAUGUUAAAACAAUCACUUGAAAGUGAAUCUAUUUCUCCAGUGCUUCAGUGUUGAGAUGAGACCUUCUCCUUGGCAACAGGCAAAGGGUUUCUCACCAUCCUUCUAUCACAUACAACUUCAGAAGCCAACUUUACAGAUUAGGGAAGGAAGACAACCUGAAGAAAAGACAUGGAAAUGACAUAACCUCCUGUGGAGUUUGGAAUAUCACUGCAGACCAUGGUCUCCCACAGUGUUCCGCUGCCCUGUGUCAUUCCAGAGAUAACCCUGAAGGACUGUCUUCUAUUCUGCUAAAGAAGAGUUUUCUCGAUGGUCAAUUAUGGUACCAGGUACAAAGAAUAUGUAUACAUAGCCCUUCUUCUUCAAGAGUCUUACAAUAUAGCAGAUACAUGGAGAAAACUCAUUUUAUUGCCUGGAAGACUGAAAUAUGGAUUUAAGAGAAAUUCAAACUCCAUGGAAGCAAAGAGUGGUUCAUUCCUCUGCUACUAAUGUGUGUGGAGCAUCUGCUUAGGCAGGGCAUGGAGUUAAGUGUUUUCACACAGGAGGUGCCCUAUCAAGGAGUGUCCCUCACAGAUUCUCUGCUUGAUUGCCCAGAAGACAAGAGCACUUGAUAAGCAUAGUCAACCAGUAAAUAGGUUUAGCUUAUUUUUAAUUAAAUUUAUUUAUUUGAAAGUGUUACACAGCGAGAGGAGAGGCAGAGAGAGAGAGAGGGAGAGAGGUCUUCCAUCCGCUGGUUCACUCCCCAAUUGGCCACAACGGCCGGAGCUGUGCCGAUCUGAAGCCAGGAGCCAGGAGCUUCUUCCGAGUCUCCCAUGUGGGUGCAGGGGCCCAAGGACUUGGGCCAUCCUCUACUGCUAUCCCAGGCCAUAGCAGAGAGCUGGGUAGGAAGUGGAGCAGCUGGGUCUCGAACUGGCGCCCGUAUGGGAUGCCGGCCCUUCAGGCCAGGGUGUUAACCCACUGUGCCACAGCACUGGCCCCUUAUUUUUAAAUGUCAGCAGUCAUCUUCAGCAGGUGAGAAUGUUCAAAUCUAAACUUCAGUGUCACAUAGUUGUACACAUGGACUGAUAUAUACAUGAAGCUUGAUAUAAAUAGAAAUUACAGAUGUAACUUUGUAUGUGACAAGAUUCUGGGAAUGUUGUAGAUUUUUACAUUCUGAAAAAAUAAGAAGACCCUUGCAAUCUUAGAAAUGUAUGGCCCUAGAAACUUAUAAAUCACGAGGGCAACCCAUUCACUCACAGGUGAUUCCGUUAAAAUGGAAUUACCAUUCCGGUCAUGUUACACUGGUGUUUUUGGUGCCACUUAUCACUAUUGAUUGAAGCUGAAAAGCUACUUUUCCU